GUGGGGAAUCUUAGACAAUGGGCGCAAGCCUGAUCUAGCCAUGCCGCGUGGACGAUGAAGGCCUUAGGGUUGUAAAGUCCUUUCGCUGGGGAAGAUAAUGACGGUACCCAGUAAAGAAGCCCCGGCUAACUCCGUGCCAGCAGCCGCGGUAAUACGGAGGGGGCUAGCGUUGUUCGGAAUUACUGGGCGUAAAGCGCGCGUAGGCGGAUCGGAAAGUUGGGGGUGAAAUCCCGGGGCUCAACCUCGGAACUGCCUUCAAAACUCCCGGUCUUGAGUUCGAGAGAGGUGAGUGGAAUUCCGAGUGUAGAGGUGAAAUUCGUAGAUAUUCGGAGGAACACCAGUGGCGAAGGCGGCUCACUGGCUCGAUACUGACGCUGAGGUGCGAAAGCGUGGGGAGCAAACAGGAUUAGAUACCCGGGUAGUCC
rnacentral:rRNA from 1 species